rnacentral:rRNA from 1 species
UACAGAGGUCUCAAGCGUUGUUCGGAUUCAUUGGGCGUAAAGGGUGCGUAGGCGGCGCGGUAAGUCGGGUGUGAAAUCUCGGAGCUUAACUCCGAAACUGCAUUCGAUACUGCCGUGCUUGAGGACUGGAGAGGAGACUGGAAUUUACGGUGUAGCGGUGAAAUGCGUAGAUAUCGUCAAGAACACCGAUAGCGAAGGCAGCUUACCAAGCUGUAACUAACACUGAGGCACGAAAGUGUGGGGAUCAAACAGG